GUCCUCCCACCAACCUCAGGAGACAGAUCAACCAUCCAUUCAUUCAACUAUUAAACAUCUUCGACAAGUAAGGCUGUGUAUAAGGAGCUUGGGAUGCCACAGCAAACAAAAUGCACACUCCUUACCCCCGUGGAGCUUCUAUUCCAGCAGUGGAGACAGAUUACCAGAACAUUAUUACAUUAUGAUCCUCUUAUGUGUAGAGGAGGAGUAGGACAGGGUGAUUUGAGUAGGUGACCAUGUAAUGGAUGCCUUACACAAUAUGGAGAUCAUGUCAGGAAAGCUUUUUUUUUUUUUUUAAGAAAAUCAUAUUUACAACUAGGUAUUCAGCAUGAAUAAGAAUUGGCUAAGCAAGCAGAUGAGAUGACAUGCAUAAGGACCCAAGGCAGAAAGGAACAGGUGUGCCUGGCUCCUCUUUGAUGACUCCAUCUGCAUCUUGCUGGAAUCACAGCUAUGAGGUAGCCCCCAAAUGCACACGGUGUGAGUCUCCCACCUGCUGGAAGGAGAUCUGUUGGUAAUCACCCUCCACGUGCAUCCUUGAAGGGUUCACCCACGAGGGAGCAAGUUCAUCUGCUGGGGAUCCACAGCAGGAAGGACUGGAAAGAG